UACGAAGGGGGCUAGCGUUGUUCGGAAUCACUGGGCUUAAAGGGCGCGUAGGCGGGUGACUAAGUCUGUGGUGAAAUCCGGCAGCUUAACUGUCGAAUUGCCAUGGAUACUGGUUGUCUCGAGGGAGGCAGGGGUGCGCGGAACUAAUGGUGGAGCGGUGGAAUGCGUUGAUAUCAUUAGGAACGCCGGUGGCGAAGGCGGCGCACUGGUCCUCUUCUGACGCUGAGGCGCGAAAGCCAGGGGAGCAAACGGG
rnacentral:rRNA from 1 species